AUUGAACGCUGGCGGCAGGCCUAACACAUGCAAGUCGAGCGAGCGGCGGACGGGUGAGUACUGUCUGGGGACUGCCCGAUAGAGUGGGAUAACUACUGGAAACGGUGGCUAAUACCGCAUACUGUCCUAUAUCCCAUAUGGGCUUAGCUAGUAGGUAAGGUAAUGGCUUACCUAGGCGACGAUCCCUAGCUGGUCUGAGAGGAUGAGCAGCCACACUGGGACUGGGACACGGCCCAGACUCCUACGGAGGCAGCAGUGGGGAAUAUUGCACAAUGGGCGCAAGCCUGAUGCAGCCAUGCCGCGUGUAUGAAGAAGGCCUUAGGGUUGUAAAGUAUUUUCAGUGUGGAGGCGUUAAAGGCAGAAGAAGCACCGGCUAACUCCGUGCCAGCAGCCGCGGUAAUUA
rnacentral:rRNA from 1 species